AUUGAACGCUGGCGGCAGGCCUAACACAUGCAAGUCGAGCGAGCGGCGGACGGGUGAGUAAUGUCUGGGAAACUGCCCGAUGGAGGGGGGUAACUACUGGAAACGGUAGCUAAUAACGCAUAUCACAAGAUGUGCGCAGAUGGGAUUAGCGAGUAGGUGGGGUAACGGCUCACCUAGGCGACGAUCCCUAGCUGGUCUGAGAGGAUGACCAGCCACACUGGAACGGAGACACGGUCCAGACUCCGACGGGAGGCAGCAGUGGGGAAUAUUGCACAAUGGGCGCAAGCCUGAUGCAGCCAUGCCGCGUGUGUGAAGAAGGCCUUCGGGUUGUAAAGCACUUUCAGCGGGGAGGCGUUACCCGCAGAAGAAGCACCGGCUAACUCCGUGCCAGCAGCCGCGGUAAUAC
rnacentral:rRNA from 1 species